UGCCANAUAGCGUAUAUUAAAGUUGUUGCAGUUAAAAAGCUCGUAGUUGAAUUUCGGGGUUAGUAGGUUGGUCAUGCCUCUGGUAUGUACUGGUCUCACUGAUUCCUCCUUCCUGAUGAACCGUAAUGCCAUUAAUUUGGUGUUGCGGGGACA
rnacentral:rRNA from 1 species